UACGGGGGGAGCAAGCGUUGUUCGGAUUUACUGGGCGUAAAGGGCGCGUAGGCGGCUUGUCGCGUCGACUGUGAAAUCCCGCGGCUCAACCGCGGGUCUGCAGUCGAUACGGGCAGGCUAGAGUUCGGUAGGGGAGACUGGAAUUCCUGGUGUAGCGGUGAAAUGCGCAGAUAUCAGGAGGAACACCGAUGGCGAAGGCAGGUCUCUGGGCCGAUACUGACGCUGAGGAGCGAAAGCGUGGGGAGCAAACAGG
rnacentral:rRNA from 1 species